rnacentral:rRNA from 1 species
UUUCUAAGUCUGAUGUGAAAGCCUUCGGCUUAACCGGAGAAGUGCAUCGGAAACUGGAUAACUUGAGUGCAGAAGAGGGUAGUGGAACUCCAUGUGUAGCGGUGGAAUGCGUAGAUAUAUGGAAGAACACCAGUGGCGAAGGCGGCUACCUGGUCUGCAACUGACGCUGAGACUCGAAAGCAUGGGUAGCGAACAGGAUUAGAUACCCUGGUAGUCCAUGCCGUAAACGAUGAGUGCUAGGUGUUGGAGGGUUUCCGCCCUUCAGUGCCGGAGCUAACGCAUUAAGCACUCCGCCUGGGGAGUACGACCGCAAGGUUGAAACUCAAAGGAAUUGACGGGGGCCCGCACAAGCGGUGGAGCAUGUGGUUUAGUUCGAAGCUACGCGAAGAACCUUACCAGGUCUUGACAUCUUGCGCCAACCCUAGAGAUAGGGCGUUUCCUUCGGGAACGCAAUGACAGGUGGUGCAUGGUCGUCGUCAGCUCGUGUCGUGAGAUGUUGGGUUAAGUCCCGCAACGAGCGCAACCCUUGUCAUUAGUUGCCAGCAUUAAGUUGGGCACUCUAAUGAGACUGCCGGUGACAAACCGGAGGAAGGUGGGGACGACGUCAAGUCAUCAUGCCCCUUAUGACCUGGGCUACACACGUGCUACAAUGGGCAGUACAACGAGAAGCAAGCCUGCGAAGGCAAGCGAAUCUCUGAAAGCUGUUCUCAGUUCGGACUGCAGUCUGCAACUCGACUGCACGAAGCUGGAAUCGCUAGUAAUCGCGGAUCAGCACGCCGCGGUGAAUACGUUCCCGGGCCUUGUACACACCGCCCGUCACACCAUGGGAGUCUGCAAUGCCCAAAGCCGGUGGCCUAACCUUCGGGAAGGAGCCGUCUAAGGCAGGGCAGAUGACUGGGGUGAAGUCGUAACAAGGUAACCGUA